rnacentral:rRNA from 1 species
AUUGAACGCUGGCGGCAGGCCUAACACAUGCAAGUCGAACGGUAGCACAGAGAGCUUGCUCUUGGGUGACGAGCGGCGGACGGGUGAGUAAUGUCUGGGAAACUGCCCGAUGGAGGGGGAUAACUACUGGAAACGGUAGCUAAUACCGCAUAACGUCUUCGGACCAAAGUGGGGGACCUUCGGGCCUCACACCAUCGGAUGUGCCCAGAUGGGAUUAGCUAGUAGGUGGGGUAAUGGCUCACCUAGGCGACGAUCCCUAGCUGGUCUGAGAGGAUGACCAGCCACACUGGAACUGAGACACGGGCCAGACUCCUACGGGAGGCAGCAGUGGGGAAUAUUGCACAAUGGGCGCAAGCCUGAUGCAGCCAUGCCGCGUGUAUGAAGAAGGCCUUCGGGUUGUAAAGUACUUUCAGCGGGGAGGAAGGCGAUGGAGUUAAUAGCUUCAUCGAUUGACGUUACCCGCAGAAGAAGCACCGGCUAACUCCGUGCCAGCCGCCGCCGUAA